UGAGGAAUAUUGGUCAAUGGGCGAGAGCCUGAACCAGCCAAGUAGCGUGCAGGACGACGGCCCUAUGGGUUGUAAACUGCUUUUAUGUGGGGAUAAAGUGCGUGACGUGUCAUGCAUUGCAGGUACCACAUGAAUAAGGACCGGCUAAUUCCGUGCCAGCAGCCGCGGUAAUACGGAAGGUCCGGGCGUUAUCCGGAUUUAUUGGGUUUAAAGGGAGCGUAGGCUGUCUAUUAAGCGUGUUGUGAAAUAUACCGGCUCAACCGGUGGCUUGCAGCGCGAACUGGUCGACUUGAGUAUGCAGGAAGUAGGCGGAAUUCACGGUGUAGCGGUGAAAUGCUUAGAUAUCAUGACGAACUCCGAUUGCGCAGGCAGCUUACUGUAGCAUAACUGACGCUGAUGCUCGAAAGUGCGGGUAUCAAACAGG
rnacentral:rRNA from 1 species